AUCUCUAUAAAUUAGGCGGAAACAGAUGUUACGAGAUCAACGAUAUCAGUGAUAUAUCUCCUACCGGGUUGAACAAAGCUAUGGAUAUGCAAGUAUAGGCAGAAAGGAGAAAGAGUGCUCAGGUUCUCAAGUCUAGAGGUGCUAUGUUGAAUCAGGCCAAUGGCACGAAGGAUGGAUAUAUUUUUCGCUCAUUGCAGUACACAGUACCACACAUGUCAUUUCAAGGUAAGCUUCUAAUUUUAUUUCUUUCCUGACCAUGUCGUGUAAAUGGCUUCAUAUGAAUAUCUGCAGUGCCAAUCUAUCCAAUAGCACAAGUGAGUACUUCGUUAAUCCUCGUAGUUCCCAUCUCCAUUUUACUCAACGCAUGCACUAAUUUUUCUAGCUCACGUUUACAGUACUUCCUGAAUUUCAUAUUGCUUACAGAUAGAUUUGGCGCAUGUUUCCAUACUGAUAAUUUUAGUUAAGCUGCAGAUAAUUUUACUCUAUUUGCUUGAUGAGGAAUUUAUGUAGAUAAUUCUGUGCAGAAGCCAAUUCUUCUUGCCGUAUAAUAAGUGGGAAUACUGCAGUCUUACUCCAAUGGCAGCAAAUUUUCUCGAAAACUCCAAUGGCAGAAAACAUGCAAGCUGGAACAGGCUAAUUCUAUGAGCAUUAGAUGUUUUAGCUACGAUGCACCAGGGAAAAAAUAGAAUGUGCUUUCACACUGAUUGGAGGUGUCUCAAGAAAAUAGAGAAAUUGUAUCUGUUUUGUACCUGCGAUAAACUGGAAGUUCUUGCUGACCCUUUCUUUGGUGAAAGUUUUGUUGAAAAUAAAGAAAUUGUAUCAUUUUUUUUC